rnacentral:lncRNA from 1 species
AGAGAGAGAAGGAGCCAGCACAGCUGAGGGAUGGAGAGGCUCUGUGGCCCAGACCCUGAAGGCCACCUGCCUGGGCUGUGGGGCCCGGUCAACUGGGCACCUGGGAUAGCGAAGACACAGGGGCCCUGGCCCCCGCGUCCUGAGCUGCACCAGCUCCUCUCCGGGAGGUGGCCAGCAGGGCAGAGGGGUGGCAAGCCUGGUACUCACAUGAUGGCCCAGCCCAGGUAGUUGGCUGUGCUUCCCCAGUACAUGGGGUUGUCCAGGAUGUUGAAGGGGAACACGGUCACUCUCGCCUCCUUGAGGAUCCCGAAGUAAUCACCUGUGGAUGAGGCAAGGCAGGGUCCCUCGGCUAUUCAUCAGCCCUGGCCACACCAUCACUGAGGGAGGCCCCAGAGCGGGCUGUGGCGAGACCUGCAGAUUCCAAGGAGCUGGAAGUUGCUGCCAUCAUCAGGGUCAUUGGUGGGCGUCUAGCCAGGCCAGCACUGGGCUCACAGCCUGAAAGCACCUCAGCCACAGGCAGAGGGAAAUGGAGAAGGGAUAAGGUGCCUCCACCCCUCACCCCUCCCCAGACCUACACCAGCCCUGCCUGCGGCCAAACACGGCACAAACCACAAUCCUGCCUGGCCUGAGAGCCACGCGUGCCGGGAGCUGCCAGAGAGGUGGCUGACUCACCACCACCUCAGGCUUCUGUGCAACAAGGCCUGAGAGUCUUCUGCAAGGGGGAGCUGGUGCUGGAGCUGGACUCAAGGAGUCCUGCACCCAGCCCGGGCCGCAGAACGGGCAUUGAGUGCAUCUUCAUUAGCUGGAGAGAAGCAGCAGG